UGCUCACGAGUUACUGGAGCAGGGCAGGCAGCUCCAGUGGCCUCAGCUGUGGAGACAGCUGUUUGCCCACCGUCUGUGAUGGCAGAAAUGUGUGGUGGGCUUCUCCAGAACAGCAUGCUCCCCCCAGCCACACAUGUGCUAGCAGGCUCCCACUCACUCACACACACAAACAGUUCCAUGCUGAGCAUCAUAUACUCCAGCACCACCGGAGGGAAAAAAGAAGCCCCAACGGUUUGGGGUCCACAAUGAGGAGCAGAAGCAGAGAGUGACACUGUCCUCCUGUUCUGAAGGGGACGUCUGCGGGACAAAAUGUGGAGGAAGGCCAGCCGCUGAGAACUCAAGUCCGGAAGUGGCCAGCACGUCCUUGUGGAAACCCUCUCUGGUGUUGCUGAGCAGGCCACACCCCUUACAUAUGUCCUUCAACCCACAGAGGGGCCCCCAUUGUGGUAGGUUUACCAAGAUGGAUCGCCUCCCACCAAGACUAUCCACAUCCAGGUUAUCAGACAAAUUGCGCUCAAUAAAUAGUUUCUGAAUAAAUACCUAUUUUAAAUAUCAGAAGCAACAGGUCUUUCACUUGGAAAGAGUCAUUAAGCUUUCCCUCUGUGCACACCUGGGACACACUGCUUGCAGUCCUCAGUGGGCCCCUGCAUAUGGUGAAGAAAGUAUGGGUGCUACUGGAGGUGCUCCAAAGCUGACACAUACCUGCUCAGGAAAGCCAGUUCUUAAGUUCGCAGAAACUUCAUGAGCCAUUUGUUAAAAACAGCCAUUUUGGAGCCAAAAUCCAUACUGCAGGUCUGUAAAUUCCAGGCUGAAGCAGGAGGCUCCGGCACGAUCAUUCAAGCUACAGGCCAGCCUGGGCUAUAGAGCAAACUCUGGCAACAAACAAUCAAAACCUCAGCCACUUAACAGCAACAACAGCAAAUGUUUAAUUUGUACUGAAAUGGAAGAUAGCAUACAUCUGGACUCGUUUCACUGACUUUUGUGUUAUGACUUUGGAGGGUUCUGACACCUACUUACCUGUAUGACGAAGACGUAAUAAAGCCGUGUGCCCUAUGUCUUCCCUUUCAAAGUCUGCAUUAAAAGAUGUCCCAUUCAUAGUUUACUGCGUUAAAUGAGGUCCCAUUCAUAAUCAAUCUUACAAGCAUACUCUUACCCACAACAUCAGAAAACAGAAAAUCAGAGCCUAUUUUUCUUAGAGAGCUGGUUAAUAA